rnacentral:rRNA from 1 species
AUACGGAGGGUGCAAGCGUUAUUCGGAAUCACUGGGCGUAAAGGACGCGUAGGCGGGUUGACAAGUCAGAUGUGAAAUCCUACAGCUUAACUGUAGAACUGCAUUUGAAACUGCUAACCUAGAGUAUGGGAGGGGGAGAUGGAAUUAGUGGUGUAGGGGUAAAAUCCGUAGAUAUCACUAGGAAUACCGAAAGCGAAGGCGAUCUCCUGGAACAUAACUGACGCUAAGGCGUGAAAGCGUGGGGAGCAAACAGAAUUAGAAACCCUAGUAGUCC